rnacentral:rRNA from 2 species
GGACUACCAGGGUAUCUAAUCCUGUUUGAUCCCCACACUUUCGUGCCUCAGCGUCAGUUACAGCCUAGUAAGCUGCCUUCGCUAUCGGUGUUCUUGACGAUAUCUAAGCAUUUCACCGCUACACCGUCAAUUCCGCCUACCUCGUCUGUACUCAAGUCUCACAGUAUCAAUGGCACCUCGACAGUUGAGCUGCCGUAUUUCACCACUGACUUAUGAAACCGCCUACGCACCCUUUAAACCCAAUAAAUCCGGACAACGCUUGCCACCUACGUAUUACCGCGGCUGCUGGCAC